UUAUGGUUUAAUAAAAUAAAUAUCUAAAUUUAAGUAUAUCAUUUACAAUGAUAAGAUGUUUUUAACUU
rnacentral:tRNA from 1 species